rnacentral:lncRNA from 1 species
AAAAUAAGGAUGGUUUCUGAGCUUAAGGAGAUAAAAAGGCGAUGACUCUCUAAUGUACGUAUAAUAUAUUAAAAAGCUUGUAUCUGUUUGUAUAUAUUGAUUUGUAAAAAAAAUAUUGAAGGCUUUGAAAUGUAUAUAGUUCUUUCUUUCCUUUUUAAAAAAAAAAAAAAAUACAUCCAUAAUUGAACAAUGAACGUUGUUGCAAGUGUGUGAAUUUUAAUGUAUUGUCUCUGACAUCAGCGUUUCUAUUAUUGCCUUCUGCGCACGUCCAACUUUUUUUCUGCUGUCUGAGAGGAGAGUCUAGACCAUACCUAUGCACUGCAUCAUAUCUCUAUUGUUCUCCAUGUUCACGUGUUUCUCUAUGUUGUGUCUGAAACGAUGUUGUUGUGGUACCCUCUAAAUUUUUCGCUUGUCGUUGAGAGUACAGACCUUUUUCAAAUGUACACUUUUUUUUUUAUACAUAUAGGUAAAUUAUACUUUGGAUAUAAUUUGUUAUUUUAAUAUAAAGAUACUUAAGGAAGUACCGCAGUAAUGCAGUGCAUGCCGGGAUUAUCCUGUGAAACUAAGCUUGGCAAUUGUGUACUAUGACACAGCAUAUGGCAAAAGCAUAGAAUUUUCUGUCUGUAUGAUAAUCUCUGUAUAAAUGAAUAUGAAUGAGUAUGAGAACAGCAUUGUAUGGAUUUGAAGCUGAAAGCGACUGCUCCCUAUAGGGAAAGGUGUGUCAUACAUUCUAACAGCAGAGGACCAGGAAGGGUAAUACAAGGAUAGGACUGUGCUUUGCAAAUUGCUUUUAAAUAGAAGUGAAACUAAGAUUCAGGUAACAAGAUGUUAAUGGGACUAUUGGCAUGUAUCCAAGCGUACAUUAGAAGAAAUCUUUUAAUAAUAAAUCGAUAGAAAGGAACUAAUUUUACAGGCAGAUAUCCAUACACUUAAGGACAAAUGUAAAAAUCCUGAAAGUAUAAAUAUUGAUUCAAAGACAUCUAUCUUUUUUAUUUUUAUUAUAUAAUGUAAAUUGCAAACUGUGCAUCUGAGAUCUUAGAAACUAAAUAUUGUCGUUAUUUUAAAAUCUAAUACAGUCACCAGAACCGUCUAAAAGCUAUAGUUCAUACAGCUACAAUAAUAAAAUCAAGAAUUUGAUUUUACCUAAUUUUCACCAAUAAAAUUGCUCUAUCCUGGCACUGUCUGGGAGCUGGACUAUAGAAAAAUCAUUGUUUCUACAGGCAUUUGUUCCAUGAGAAGGGAGAAAGAAACGAAGUAGGCGUUAAAUAAACUCGAAGAGUGUAAAAGAAUUGAUGCCAUUAUUUCUUUGAAUCACGUGUGUGCCUGGAUCACUUGCUAUUCAGACAGGGGAUCGAGGAUGAAAGUCUUUAUGUCAGAGACUGUUCUCACAAUAGCAUUUGGACUUUUUUUUUUUAUCAUUAUUGAUUUGGGGAAAAGGUGGGGACAGCAAGGCUUAAGGGUAAGGUGAAGGAAAGACCAGCUGGCAGUAAACAUGUUUAACAUGAUACAUUUCCUUCUGAAAAGAUGAUAUGUAAGCGGAAGAUUAGAACAUCGGAAGUGAGGGAAGUAGAAAUGUUACAGGAUAAUAUUGGAAUAUAAAGAAGGCAGUACUGAUGGGAGGCUACUAUUUUUUCUUUGUCCCCCCUCCAAAUCCCGACGUCUGACCUGUAAGGACUGGGUUGUCGGCGUCAUGCAAAUACUGCAGUCCUGAAGGUCCAAGAGAGGGUGGAAACUAAAAGAGUGAGUUGAUGUUAAUGAUGAGUGGAGAGAAAAUACCAGCCGGUAACUCCCCCUCCACACACACAACUGUUCUGAGUCAGCAUCCGCUGCCUUGCCUUGCUUUUUGUGAGUGUGUGUGUGUGUGCUCGUGCGUGUCUGCAAGUGUGUGUGUGUCUGUCUGUGAGCCUGUCUGUGUGUGUGUGUGUCUAAGGAAGGUAAAAGCCAGUCAGUCAGUUAGAAGCAAAGGUACGUCUGCGAACAGCUAAAAUCUGACUGAUUUCAAUCUUUGGAGCAUCAGAUGUAUUCUCUUAGGAGGAUGGGUCUAUGUGAUGGGGGAUGUAAUUAUGUUAAUACCAUUUUUGUGGAGGGGACUGAUUUUUUUUUCUCAUUCUAAUUGUUCAUCUGCAGACUGUGUUCAAAUAUUGCUUGUGAAAUCAUUUUAAGAUAAGAGACGAGUUGGCAUGGAAAAAGCUACUUUACUUGGUCUCAUUUAAGAGCCUCUUGCUUUUUAAGGAAACAUUAAUAUUGCUAAAUACCUUUUUUAUAACAUAACUAUGUUGAAUAUCUAACGUAAUAGAGGAAUGCACAGUGGUAUGGAAUGUUGUAUUCUUUAGGAAUUCCUGGGUAAAUGGUUAACUAGAUCAACAUUUUUUAUUUUUAACGCACCUCUAUUAUGCUUUUCAAGAUGAUGUCUGUUUUGUUUUUGUGUUUUGUUUUCUAUUAACCAUUUCUUGUUGCAUUCGGAUCUUGCUAACGAUUUCUCUUUUUUUUCCCCCUCUGUUUUUAAUUUCUUUUUAAAGCAGAUGAGAUGGUGAAACGCUGAAGAUAUUCUAAACAAGAUUCUGCUUAUAUCCUCCAGUUGGCAGAAGGACAAGCCGGGCCAAAUUGAUUUUCAUUUUCUGUGAAAGAACGAGGAUUUAAAAAAAAAAAUUAAAUUGGAAAUGGUAUAGCUUCUGUGCCAUUUUCCUGUAUAGAAGCUAUAAGGAAUCAGAGAUCCUGGGAUUGUGGUUUGCCUUCUUAAACCAAAGACAGAUUAAGCCCCCUGGUGAUAGCGAAAUAUUUUUGAGGGUUGACUUUACCUCUUCUUGUGUCAAUAGUAUUUAAACCUGUGUGUGUUUUCUACAUCCCUUCUGCUGUAACACUUACUAGUCAGCUUGUUAGAAAAGGGCUUAUCUAUUGAAAUCUAAACUCUGAUAAAUACUAAUUUUGUUAUUUUCCUCUCGAAACGUUUUAUUACUAUUUUUACAUUCCAAGUAAGCGAAAGACAAGCUGUUAUUACAUGUUAUAGUUUAUGGGGCCCAAGUUAUCAAAAUGGAUUUUUAUGUGGGGGCAAAAAAACAAAAACAGAAAAACACUAUGGGACACUCGAACAAUGUUUGUUGUUUGAUCUUUUGGAAAUGUGUACAAAAAUGCAAAAUUUCAGUUUUGGAUUGAUAUCAAUCGAGGUAACCAUGAAACCAGUUUAACCCUUUGCUUACUGACUGGCGGGAGCAAACCUUUGCUUUCCACUGCAUUGUCUCCCUGUCAUGUCAGCCAAACGGUUAAUCUCCUAGUGUCUUCUACUAAAUAGAUGUUGUUAGACUGUAUGUUGCUGAAUUUGAGCAGAACUUUAAGGAUACCCACAAUAUAUUUUUGGAAGAAGACUUCUCUGGAAUGAUGUUGGACUUUUCCUAGUCCCUGAGACCCUAACUUGUGAGGAUUUUUUAGCAAUGAUCACAAGUUAGGCUCUUGGGACCUAGGCGGAGGGGAACCAGCAACUUUUGGACUGUAAUGAUUGUGUAUCUGCGAUUAUGGAAUGAACCAUGUCACCGAAUCUGAGAUAAGAGCUGUAUUCUAAAAUGCUUUGUCUUUAAUUUUGUUUUGGUAUAAACUGUCCAUUUCCUUGCCUUUCAAACAAAAUAUCCAGACAAUCGAUCAUAUACUCGUAAAGCUACAAAAGACUGUUUCACGUUAUUUUAAUAACAUCUUUUAUUGUGAAUUGCACAUAAAUUGAGAAUUAUAAAAAAUAUUAAAGACUGUUUGGUUAAUCAUGUUACCUGUGAUAACUAGUCAUUUGAUUUCCAAUUUCUCAAAAACAAACAAAAAAAACCUGCAGAAUAAAAUAUAAUGUAUUUCUUAUAUGAUGAAAUAAUUUUGUAGAUGUAAAAUAUUUCUUGUAUAUUCCUAAAUUUUGUUUGCCAUAAUGCUUAAAUUAAAUAUUUUGUAAAAUGUGAAUAAAAUAUGCAAAUACCUGUCUUUUUUUCUAUUCACACUAUUAAUACAUGAUAUUUAAAAUAAUGUUUGUUAUAUGUGAUAUUAACCCUUAAAAAUGUAAAAUAUCAGAAUACAGUUAAAAUAUUUCCUAGCAUAAGCAUAUCAGGUUCUGCUUAACCUUCUCAACAGAGCAUUAAUUAUCAAUAAUGUACAAUAUAUACUACUACGGUUCUCAAAGGUAUUCAUAGCUUAUAUAUUUUAUAUUUAUAAAAAAUGUUUUAAGAAUAUAACUGAACACUGAUGUUCCAUAAAGACAAAUUUAUUUUAUUAAUGCUAAAAUUCACUCAAGUGACUGUGCUCAUUUGGAAAAUAAAUAUUUGUUUGUAUGUUAGAAUGUCUAUAAUUUGUCUAUCUACCUUUAUACAUGUAACAUAUAAAUACACUGUAGCUUGGGG